CGGAGGAAAAGAAUCCAUCAGGGAUUGCCCUAGUACCGGCGAGUGAAGCGGCAACAGCUCAAAUUUGAAAUCUGGCGCAAGCCCGAGUUGUAAUUUGUAGAGGAUGUUUCUGGCGACGUGCCUUCCGAGUUCCCUGGAACGGGACGCCAUAGAGGGUGAGAGCCCCGUACGGUUGGAUGCCUAGCCUCUGUGAAACUCCUUCGACGAGUCGAGUAGUUUGGGAAUGCUGCUCUAAAUGGGAGGUAUACGUCUUCUAAAGCUAAAUACCGGCCAGAGACCGAUAGCGCACAAGUAGAGUGAUCGAAAGAUGAAAAGCACUUUGAAAAGAGGGUUAAAAAGUACGUGAAAUUGUUGAAAGGGAAGCGUUCAUGACCAGACUUGGGCAGGUUGAUCAUCCGUGGUUCUCCGCGGUGCACUCUGCCUGCCCAGGCCAGCAUCAGUUCGCCCCGGGGGAUAAAGGCUUUGGGAAUGUGGCUCCCUCGGGAGUGUUAUAGCCCACUGUGUAAUACCCCGGGGUGGACUGAGGUUCGCGC
rnacentral:rRNA from 1 species